AACCAUAUGCAGGUGGAGAGUAGCCAAUGAGGUUUAACUGAGGCUCGAUUAUUACUUAUUGAAAACUUUUCCCAAUAGCCCGCUAUGAUGACUUGAAAUAUAGUCGGCAAUGGCAAUUUUUGAUAGUCUUUGCGGAGA